CUCUCUGUAGUUCAGUUGGUUAAAGCGCUGCACCGGAAGCGCAGGUUCGAUUCCUGACAGAAGG